rnacentral:rRNA from 1 species
UACGUAGGAUGCAAGCGUUGUCCGGAAUUAUUGGGCGUAAAGAGCGCGCAGGCGGUAUGACAAGUCAGAUGUGAAAGAGGCCGGCUUAACCGGCAAGGGUCAUUUGAAACUGUCAGACUAGAGUGCAGCAGAGGAUAGUGGAAUUCCCGGUGUAGUGGUGAAAUGCGUAGAGAUCGGGAAGAACAUCGGUGGCGAAGGCGCUCUACUGGACCACAACUGACACUCAGGGACGAAAGCUAGGGGAGCGAAUGGG